UGGUGCCACAUUAUCACCCUGCAGCCCAAGACUGGUUGCCCACUGAAGCUAAGCAGGGUUGAGCUGGUCAGUACCUGGAUGGGAGACCUCCUGGGAAAAACUAGGUUGUUGCUGGAA
rnacentral:rRNA from 1 species